AUUGUUUGUCUUGUUUGUGUAGUAUAAAAUGAUAUGAGCUUAGCAAUGAAAUGUGGAAAGCUUGUAGAUAUGGAUAAGACGAUGGGAGGAUCUAUGUGGCAUCUAGAGAGAGCAUAUGCCACUCGAUUAGAGGUACUAGUCUAAUAUUUAAUUUCGUAUUCAAAUCCAAUGAGCUUUGUAGUCCAUUUCUGUUACUUAAGUGAGUGAAAACCUUGAGUCAUGAUAUGCUUUAGGCUUUGUUGGUCUGUAUAGAUUAUAAAUUUCUUGCCUAUGAGAUACUGACGCCAUUUUUCACUGAUUCUAUUACAGCGGACAUAGGCGGAGACAUGCUACAUCCGACCAUACUUUUUUUUUGUUGAAAAAAGCUAGUGGGUGGACCCCUUCAGACAAAACAGCGCCAAUGGCAACUGCUGAAGCAUCGAUUUCCACAUCGAAUGUCAUUGAAAAAUCAGGGAGAUGUAACA
rnacentral:lncRNA from 1 species